rnacentral:rRNA from 1 species
UACGUAGGGUGCAAGCGUUGUCCGGAAUUAUUGGGCGUAAAGAGCUCGUAGGCGGUCUGUUGCGUCGGCUGUGAAAACCCGAGGCUCAACCUCGGGCCUGCAGCCGAUACGGGCAGACUAGAGUUCGGCAGGGGAGACUGGAAUUCCUGGUGUAGCGGUGAAAUGCGUAGAGAUCAGGAAGAACAUCGGUGGCGAAGGCGCUCUGCGUGGACCAUAAACUGACACUC